UCGAGAAUUUUGGGCAAUGGGCGAAAGCCUGACCCAGCAACGCCGCGUGAGGGAUGAAGUAUUUCGGUAUGUAAACCUCGAAAGAAUGGGAAGAAUAAAUGACGGUACCAUUUAUAAGCUCCGGCUAACUACGUGCCAGCAGCCGCGGUAAUACGUAGGGAGCAAGCGUUGUUCGGAUUUACUGGGCGUAAAGGGCGCGUAGGCGGCGCGGUAAGUCACUUGUGAAAUCUCUGAGCUUAACUCAGAACGGCCAAGUGAUACUGCUGUGCUAGAGUGCGGAAGAGGCAACCGGAAUUCUUGGUGUAGCGGUGAAAUGCGUAGAUAUCAAGAGGAACACCUGAGGCGAAGGCGGGUUGCUGGGCCGACACUGACGCUGAUGCGCGAAAGCCAGGGGAGCAAACG
rnacentral:rRNA from 1 species